GCUGGGUGUGGUGGCGCACGCCUGUAAUCUCAGCUUCUCAGGAGGCUGAGGCAGGAGAAUCACUUGAACCCGGGAGGUGGAGGUUGCAGUGAGCCGAGAUCACGCCACUGCACUCCAGCCUGGGUGACAGAGGGAGAUUCAGUCUCAA
rnacentral:SRP_RNA from 1 species